rnacentral:tRNA from 1 species
GAGGGUAUCGCUCAGUGGUAGAGCGUGUGCUUGGUGUGCACAAGGUCCUGAAUUCAAUCCCCAGUACCUCCA